rnacentral:rRNA from 1 species
UACGUAGGGGGCAAGCGUUGUCCGGAAUCAUUGGGCGUAAAGAGCGUGUAGGCGGCCCGGUAAGUCUGUUGUGAAAGUCCAGGGCUCAACCCUGGAAAGCCGAUGGAUACUGCCGGGCUAGAGUUCGGAAGAGGCGAGUGGAAUUCCUGGUGUAGCGGUGGAAUGCGUAGAUAUCAGGAGGAACACCUGUGGUGUAGACAGCUUACUGGACCAUAACUGACGCUGAGGCACGAAAGCGUGGGUAGCAAACAGG